ACAGGAUUAGAUACCCUGGUAGUCCACGCCGUAAACGAUGAUCACUCGCUGUUAGCGAUAUACAGUUAGCGGCUAAGCAAAAGCAUUAAGUGAUCCACCUGGGGAGUACGGCCGCAAGGCUGAAACUCAAAGGAAUUGACGGGGGCCCGCACAAGCGGAGGAACAUGUGGUUUAAUUCGAUGAUACGCGAGGAACCUUACCUGGGCUUAAAUGUAGAGUGCAUGAGGUAGAAAUACUUCUUCCCUUCGGGGCUCUUUGCAAGGUGCUGCAUGGUUGUCGUCAGCUCGUGCCGUGAGGUGUCGGGUUAAGUCCCAUAACGAGCGCAACCCUUAUCGUUAGUUGCCAGCGGGUAAUGCCGGGGACUCUAACGAAACUGCCGGUGUAAACCGUGAGGAAGGUGGGGAUGACGUCAAAUCAGCACGGCCCUUAUGUCCAGGGCUACACACGUGUUACAAUGGCCGGUACAGAGGGCAGCUACCUGGAGACAGGAUGCGAAUCUCAAAAACCGGUCUCAGUUCGGAUCGGAGUCUGCAACUCGACUCCGUGAAGCUGGAUUCGCUAGUAAUCGCGCAUCAGCCAUGGCGCGGUGAAUACGUUCCCGGGCCUUGUACACACCGCCCGUCAAGCCAUGGAAGCUGGGGGUACCUGAAGUCCGUAACCGCAAGGAGCGGCCUAGGGUAAAACUGGUGACUGGGGCUAAGUCGUAACAAGGUAACCAAGGGC
rnacentral:rRNA from 1 species